rnacentral:sRNA from 1 species
AGAUGUGAGGACCAGCUACCUGAGAAACCUGCUACGUCAUUUGUCACCAGUGUUGAUCUGGCUGAUCUGGCUAGCUUCAGGGUGGUCCCUUCCUCCCUCACUGCUCUGUGUGUGUGUGUCCUGAAGCUAAACCUGUGCACUCAGUCAAAGAGGCAUCUUCCCCAAAUAGAGGAUUGGUCUUCGGUCAAGGGUAUAUGAGAAAGAACUCUUCACAAACCAAUCAGCCCUGUAAUUACUUGCAGAAACUGCAUAGGGGCAGGACUCAGGUGUUGUAAUUUGUCAAAAGAUGCUUACUCACAAAGACCACAGAGACCGCCAUCGUUGCAAGACACAUGAGGAUUU